GUCCCCUCCCCCGAUGGUGGGGCUCGGACUGAAGAUGGUGCAGAAGAGAACAGCCGAACUUCAGGGCUUCCACCGUUCGUUCAAGGGGCAGAAUCCUUUCAAGCUGGCCUUCUCCUUAGACCUCGCCCAGCAUGGGGACUCUGACUUCAGCCCACAGUGUGAAGCCCGACCUGACAUGCCUUCCAGCCAGCCCAUUGACAUCCCAGAUACCAAGAAGAGAGGCCGGAAAAAGAAGCGCUGUCGUGCUACUGACAGCUUCUCAGGCAGGUUCGAAGAUGUCUACCAGCUGCAGGAAGAUGUGCUGGGGGAAGGUGCCCACGCCCGAGUACAGACCUGUGUCAAUCUCAUCACCAACCAGGAAUAUGCUGUCAGGGUCAUUGAGAAGCAGCUGGGCUACAUCCGCAGCAAGGUGUUCCGGGAGGUGGAGAUGCUGUACCAGUGCCAGGGACAUAGGAAUGUUCUGGAGCUGAUCGAGUUCUUCGAGGAGGAGGACCGUUUCUACCUGGUGUUUGAGAAGAUGCGUGGCGGAUCCAUCCUAAGCCACAUCCACAGAAGGCGCCACUUUAACGAGCUGGAGGCCAGUGCCCUGGACUUCCUGCAUAACAAAGGCAUCGCCCAUAGGGACCUAAAGCCAGGGAACAUCCUGUAUGAGCACCCCAACCAGGUCUCGCCAGUGACGAUCUGCGACUUCGACCUUGGCAGUGGUAUCAAACUCAAUGGAGACUGCUCCCCCAUCUCUACGCCAGAGCUGCUCACCCCGUGUGGGUCAGCCGAGUACAUGGCCCCAGGGUUGGUGGAGGCCUUCAGUGAGGAGGCCAGCAUCUACAACAAGCGCUGCGACCAGUGGAGCCUGGGCGUCAUCUUCUACAUCCUGCUUAGUGGCUACCCUCCCCCUCGUGGUCCACUGUGGCAGCGACUGUGGCUGGGACCGCGGGGAGGCCUGCCCUGCCAGCUAGAACAUGCUGUUUGAGAGCAUCCAAGAAGGGAAGUAUGAGUUCCCCGACAAGGACUGGUCCCAUAUCUCCUUAGCUGCCAAAGACCUCAUCUCCAAGCUUCUGGUCCGAGAUGCCAAGCAGAGGCUGAGCGCUGCCCAAGUCCUUCAGCACCCCUGGGUGCAGGGGUGUGCCCCAGAGAACACCCUACCGACACCCUUGGUUCUGCAGAGGAACAGCUGUGCCAAAGACCUCACUUCCUUUGCGGCUGAGGCCAUCGCCAUGAACCAGCAGCUGGCCCAGUGUGAGGAGGACGCUGGGCAGGACCAGCCUGUGAUCAUCCGAGCUACCUCACGCUGCCUGCAGCUGUCCCCACCUUCCCAAUCCAAGCUGGCCCAGCGGUGCCAGAGGGCUAGCCUGCCGGCCACCCCUGUGGUCCUCGUGGGGGAUCGCGCAUGAUCCCCACUAGCCCCUUGUACAUAUGCCC